UACGGGGGGGAGCAAGCGUUGUUCGGAUUUACUGGGCGUAAAGGGCGUGUAGGCGGCGCAACAAGUCACUUGUGAAAUCUCCGGGCUUAACCCGGAGCGGCCAAGUGAUACUGUCGUGCUAGAGUGCGGAAGGGGCUACUGGAAUUCUCGGUGUAGCGGAUGAAAUGCGUAGAUAUCGAGAGGAACACCUGCGGCGAAGGCGGGUAGCUGGGCCGACACUGACGCUCAUGCACGAAAGCGUGGGGAGCAAACAGG
rnacentral:rRNA from 1 species